rnacentral:rRNA from 1 species
GACGUAGGGCGCGAGCGUUGUCCGGAUUUAUUGGGCGUAAAGAGCUCGUAGGCGGCUUGUCGCGUCGACUGUGAAAACCCGAGGCUCAACUUCGGGCUUGCAGUCGAUACGGGCAGGCUAGAGUUCGGUAGGGGAGACUGGAAUUCCUGGUGUAGCGGUGAAAUGCGCAGAUAUCAGGAGGAACACCGAUGGCGAAGGCAGGUCUCUGGGCCGAUACUGACGCUGAGGGACGAAAGCUAGGGGAGCGAAUGGG